rnacentral:rRNA from 1 species
AUUGAACGCUGGCGGCAUGCUUUACACAUGCAAGUCGAACGGUAACAGGGUGCUUGCACCGCUGACGAGUGGCGAACGGGUGAGUAAUGCGUCGGAACGUGCCGAGUAGUGGGGGAUAACGCAGCGAAAGUUGUGCUAAUACCGCAUACGUACUGAGUUAGAAAGUGCGGGACCCUCGGGCCUCACGCUAUUCGCGCGGCCGCCGGCUGAUUAGCUAGUAGGGGAGGUAAAGGCUCACCUAGGCGACGAUCAGUAGCGAGUCUGAGAGGAUGAUCCGCCACACUGGGACUGAGACACGGCCCAGACUCCUACGGGAGGCAGCAGUGGGGAAUUUUGGACAAUGGGCGAAAGCCUGAUCCAGCCAUGCCGCGUGUCUGAAGAAGGCCUUCGGGUUGUAAAGGACUUUUGGCAGGGAGGAAAUCCCUAGUGCUAAUAACACUGGGGGAUGACAGUACCUGAAGAAUAAGCACCGGCUAACUACGUGCCAGCCGCCGCCGUAA